rnacentral:misc_RNA from 1 species
UCUCCGUAGGUGAACCUGCGGAAGGAUCAUUAACGAGUUAGGGUCUUCCAGGCCCGACCUCCCAACCCUAUGUUUAUUGAACCUCUGUUGCUUCGGCGGACCCGCCUCACGGCCGCCGGAGGACCGCUGCAAGGCGUCCUCUGGCCAGCGUCCGCCGAUGGCCAACCACUUAAACUCUGAAUGAAUCGUGUCAUAUGUCUAAGUCUAUGAUUAAAUUAAAGCAAAACUUUCAACAACGGAUCUCUUGGUUCUG